UACAGAGGUCUCAAGCGUUGUUCGGAUUCAUUGGGCGUAAAGGGUGUGUAGGUGGCGCGCUAAGUCGGGUGUGAAAUUUCGGAGCUUAACUCCGAAACUGCAUUCGAUACUGCCGUGCUUGAGGACUGGAGAGGAGACUGGAAUUCAUGGUGUAGCAGUGAAAUGCGUAGAGAUCAUGAGGAAGACCAGUGGCGAAGGUGGGUCUCUGGACAGUUCCUGACGCUGAGGCACGAAGGUCAGGGGAGCAAACGGG
rnacentral:rRNA from 1 species